AGUACUUGGGUGUGGUUUUUAACUUAUGCACAGACUUACAGACAGGUGCAAAAACUAAAUCCCUUUGUAACCCAGAAGUCAUUGUUCAAUACAAAUCUUAAUUCAUAUAAGGGGGAAUAUU